rnacentral:rRNA from 1 species
GAUGAACGCUAGCUACAGGCUUAACACAUGCAAGUCGAGGGGCAUCAGGAUGUAGCAAUACAUUGCUGGCGACCGGCGCACGGGUGAGUAACACGUAUCCAACCUGCCUUUUACUCGGGGAUAGGCUUUCGAAAGAAAGAUUAAUACCCGAUGGUAUAAUAUUCCGCAUGGGAUUAUUAUUAAAGAAUUUCGGUAAAAGAUGGGGAUGCGUUCCAUUAGGCAGUUGGCGGGGUAACGGCCCACCAAACCUUCGAUGGAUAGGGGUUCUGAGAGGAAGGUCCCCCACAUUGGAACUGAGACACGGUCCAAACUCCUACGGGAGGCAGCAGUGAGGAAUAUUGGUCAAUGGGCGGAAGCCUGAACCAGCCAAGUAGCGUGAAGGAUGACUGCCCUAUGGGUUGUAAACUUCUUUUAUAGGGGAAUAACAGACGUUACGUGUAGCGUUUUGCAUGUACCUUAUGAAUAAGCAUCGGCUAACUCCGUG